rnacentral:misc_RNA from 1 species
CUGGUGUGAACCGAGAAAGGUUAGACUUGUUCAUACCAUGUCCAUGUCAAGGCCUUUAUUAUUUACGUUACUUUCAUCAUAGGCAUCUAUUUUCCCUUUUAUAUCAUUUUUUUUAUUCAAAUAUAAGUAGGAUUGUCAAUGUUUAAUUAAUACUGAUAUACAAGGCAUUAAAUACACGCUUAUCCUAAUAAGUUGGGCAUAUUUGUUGAUCUGGUGGAAUUCUCUUCUGUGAACUAUUAUUACUUUUUAGAAGUUAUUGAUCUCUCAGCUUAUCGGUGAGCUUUAUGCCACCACAUAUAAAUAUUUGUGUUCUUUGGAUUUGUUAACUGGUUUUUUGCUAGUUACAAAUUGCUUAAUUUAGUUUAUUACUAAAAUAUGUGUACAUGGAUGGAUAAAAUAAUGGCUAAUUAGCUGAAAAAAUCAAAACCUUUAGUCUCUGUAUUUUCAAAACCAAAAAAUUUAGGUUAAAAAAUCCACAAUUUAGUCCCUCCAUUCAAUUAAUUGUUAAUUAUAGCAAAAAUGACCAUUUCCUAAGAUUUGGAGAGAGAAAUAGGAAGCUGCAGCUUCCUUGCCUUGAUCUAGUCAUCACAUGCUACGAUUAAGUUGUGACCUGUCUUUGUUCACCAACCCCUUCCCAAAUGAACCCAUAGCUAUUGAGAGUGCAAAGAUCAAAGUUCUAGGGAGAGAUCUCAUGGUUGAGUCGCGACUCUUAAUUACAACCUGACUGGAUCUUUGUUUUUCUGGGCAAUAAUUUUUUUAUUUUAUUUCAAAAAAUCAAAAUUUCACUGAUUAAAAUUAAAAAAUGGUAUUGGAAAACUUAAAAAAAUUUUCAAAACAAUUCUAGAAAAUUAUUGACCGGACAAAUAAUUAAUUUUGGGAAGAAUAAUAUAUUUAUAUACUAUUUAAAUAUAAAGUUUAAAGUAAGGGAUUAAGUUAUAGGUUUUGUCAAAUUUCAGGGAUAAAAUUGCUUAGUUUUGAAAAAUAUUGGAUUAAGUUGUAAGGUUCUACCAAACCUUAGAGGCUAAAUUGUAAUUUACCAAAUUUUAAUUUGGGUAGUGGAUAAAAUUUCUUUGACUUUGAAAGGUGUGGUUUAGUUGUCAAAAAUUAAAAGGUUUGGAUAAAAGAGCAAUAAACGCAAACGUUUAGAUGUUUCUAGUCAAUAGCCUACAAUAAUUGAUACUCCUGCAUUAAUGUUUCUCAUUCUGUAUUGAAAAAUUGUAAAAUAAUAAUAAUAAUAACAAUAUCGAGAAACAAAGUCACGAGAAACCCAGAAGCAACGCAGACAUUGGCCAUCACCACCACACCCUCAUCCGCCAUUCCCCAGCCACACUGCCACCACCAGCUAACUCGCCGGCCUGUGGCAAGUCCGAAGUUACCUGCCCGAUCUUCAAAGGAGUCCCAUAGCCGAAGAUCCAAACAGGUUAGAUGCAAACCGUUCAAGACUCGCCUGAAAUCCGAAAAUUUUCAGCGUUUGACCUCCAAAGCUCAUCAUCGGCCACCGAUCUACACCUUCCCACAGUCGAAUAUCAGAUCUGGCACCCCUGGAGCAAGAUCUGAUCGGGUCGAGUCAGUGGAUCCAUCGGGCAAGAGAGGUAAGCUCACCACAGUUUCAGUGAGCCGCAUUACACCUGAUUUGCUUCAACUUCUGCCACAUCAGCAACUGCAUGCCACAUCAUCGACACGCCAGCAAUUGAGUGCCACAUCUUUUCACGUCAUUGACACAUCAGCAACCAAGUGUCACAUCAUCACUGCCACGUCAUCCUGCCACCUCAUCGCCACAUCAUCAAAAAUUGAAAUUGCCCUACCUUGCAAAUUUUGACCUUCUGAGUCCAUUUUUGCCAUCCGUUUUGGCAGAAGAUGACUCCAAGAGCCUAAAUUUUGUGUUUUCGGUGAGGUACACUUCUCUACUUGAGACUUGAUUAUUAUUCAUAAAUUGGGUAGUUUUGUAAGGUAUUUUAGAUUCAAUAAUUCGCUUCAUAAUUCACCUUACCCAUUCAACAUUAGCCUUACUCAGUUUCAUUCCUUUAAUUUCGUCUUUCUACUUAUAUACUAUGCAUUUAUCUAAUCCAAUCACCCAUAACCUUGACAUAAAUCAUUAAAAUUGAAUUUAAUAUUCUUAUUAGUGUGUGUUUGCACUAAGUUUGUUAUUUGCAUUCAUUUUAGUAAUUUUAGUCUGCUUAGCAUCCAUUAUGACUAAAGAUAAGCACCAUGCCUCUAUCUCACACUCACCCCCUAAUUUCCACUUUACAUGAUCAACCUCAAUUUGUUGAAUUAAAGAGACAAGUGGAAUAAAUUGUUGAACAUCUGAAAGUUAUGAGCAAACAAACUGUAAUGGAAGAAGAGUCCGUUAAACCACACCUAAGGUCACCUCAUCCUGUUGAGUCUGCACCUGCCGCAAUUUAUACACCAAGCGCACAAAAUGCAUCGCAUAGGGGUAGUAAUAUAACAACAAAACAAGUGAGGCUUAAUCCUGUUGGUAAUAUGCCUUUGCACUUUGAAGAAAGGAAACAUAUUGGUUCUGAUGAGCAUGUUUUUGAUGCACCACCAAACACUCAUUUUGGACAAGAUCCUCGUUUUGACCAUUAUGAUCCUCAUAGUAGGGCCCUCGAUAGAAACUAUAGGCAACCCGAUCCUCAUGGUAGACUCUCUGAUAGAGACCAUAGGCAACCUCCUAGAUAUGCUAAUAAUGAACAUGUUGAUAUCACUAGGAAGGUCAAACUAACUGCUCUUGAAUAUAAUGAAAAAUUGGAUCGUAAAGUUUUCAUUGAUUGUUUAGAUGGGAUAGAGGAGUAUUGUGAUUUUUAUCACAUAUCUGAUUUGGAGCGUGUUCAUUUUGCCAAAAUAAAAUUGACUAGAGCUACUAGAAAUAUUGGCAAAGUGUUCAACGCAAUAAGGAGCGCUUGAAUGAGCCUCUUAUUACUCAAUGGGCUAUCAUGAAAAGUAAGUUGAAGGAUAAGUACGUGCCUAGUUAUUAUAAGGAUGAUAUAGUACAUGAGAUGAUGAAUCUUAAGCAAUCAACUUCUAAUGAAACUAAAUACAUGAAAAAAUUUGAGAAAACUUUGCUUAGAUGUGAUUUAUUUUGUGAUUCAGUUGAGAACCCUUUGCUUGUGCUUCAUCGAUUUGUUAAUGGAUUGAGACUUGACAUUCAAAAGGAACUCAAAUUGCAUUCUGAAACAAUAAAAGAAGCCUAUCA